UGGGGAAUUUUGGACAAUGGGCGCAAGCCUGAUCCAGCCAUGCCGCGUGCGGGAAGAAGGCCUCCGGGUUGUAAACCGCUUUUGUCGGGGAAGAAAAGCCUUGGGUUAAUACCCUGGGGUGAUGACGGUACCCGAAGAAUAAGCACCGGCUAACUACGUGCCAGCAGCCGCGGUAAUACGUAGGGUGCAAGCGUUAAUCGGAAUUACUGGGCGUAAAGCGUGCGCAGGCGGUUAUGCAAGACAGAGGUGAAAUCCCCGGGCUCAACCUGGGAACUGCCUUUGUGACUGCAUAGCUAGAGUACGGUAGAGGGGGAUGGAAUUCCGCGUGUAGCAGUGAAAUGCGUAGAUAUGCGGAGGAACACCGAUGGCGAAGGCAAUCCCCUGGACCUGUACUGACGCUCAUGCAUGAAAGCGUGGGGAGCAAACG
rnacentral:rRNA from 1 species